GAAGGUUUGUAGGUAUUUGUUAUUUAUUUUUUCAUCAAAAAAUUUUAAAUAUUUAAUAGUUAUGAAAUAAUUUUAGUGUUAUCAAGUAUCAACAGUCUACCUACUUGUAAGUGCGUUGCAUAGCAAAUCUACACUCAGCAGUUCACGUUUAGCUCUGUUGGAUUCAAUAUUAAAGUGAAUCCUAUCUUUUAAAAAACUUAAAGACAAUAAUAUCAUAAAAAGAGGCGUGACAGGUGCGGGGCAAUGUAUAUGUACUAUUGUGUUACGCACGCAACAGCGACGUGAAAAUUUCUACGAACAGUACAAAUUUAUCAACUCGCCGGCUACAGUUUAAUAAUAUUAGUUUAUAUUUUUAUUUUUUACUUAUGAAAUUGUGUUUUCAUUAUUC